rnacentral:sRNA from 1 species
GCAGGCUUCUCCCAGGCUGCUCUCGGUCAGCUGUGCGGACCUCGCCAAGCGUCAGGAACUUCCGGGGAAGAAGCCGCUCUCUGAGAAAAAGCUGAAAAGGUAUUUUGUGGACUAUCGGAGAGUGCUUGUCUGUGGAGGAAACGGAGGCGCUGGGGCAAGCUGCUUCCACAGUGAGCCCCGCAAGGAGUUUGGAGGCCCUGAUGGAGGGGAUGGAGGCAACGGUGGACACGUCAUUCUGAGAGCUGACCAGCAAGUCAAGUCCCUGUCGUCGGUCCUGUCGCGGUACCAGGGUUUCAGUGGAGAAGAUGGUGGGAGUAAAAACUGCUUCGGGCGCAGUGGCGCCGUCCUCUACAUCCGGGUGGGAUUCCCCAACGCCGGGAAGUCCUCACUGCUCCGGGCCAUUUCAAACGCCAGACCCGCCGUGGCUUCCUACCCGUUCACCACCCUGAAGCCCCACGUCGGGAUCGUCCACUACGAAGGCCACCUACAAAUAGCAGUGGCCGACAUCCCCGGCAUCAUACGAGGCGCCCACCAGAACAGGGGCCUGGGGUCCGCCUUCCUCAGGC